GUCAGCUCGUGUCGUGAGAUUGGUUUGGGUUAAGUCCCCGCAACGAGCGCCAACCCCUAUUGUUAGUUGCCAUCAUUCAGUUGGGCACUCUAGCGAGACUGCCGGCUAAAAGUCGGAGGAAGGUGGGGAUGACGUCAAAUCAUCAUGCCCCUUAUGACCUGGGCUACACACGUGCUACAAUGGUUGGUACAACGAGUUGCGAGUCGGUGACGGCGAGCUAAUCUCUUAAAGCCAAUCUCAGUUCGGAUUGUAGGCUGCAACUCGCCUACAUGAAGUCGGAAUCGCUAGUAAUCGCGGAUCAGCACGCCCGCGGUCGAAUACGUUCCCGGGCCUU
rnacentral:rRNA from 1 species